AGUAAAAUUAUUGUCUCAGAUUUACUGUUUAUGAACAGCUAUUUUAGUAGUUCUAAAGAGCUGUUUGGUUCGAUUUCCAGAUUUUUGAAGUUGUUUUUCGCUCAUUAAUGAGAUGUCUUUUAGUAAAACAGUUUGUCAUUUGAACAUUUAAGGAAAAUACUUUUGCUUAACAUUUUUGGAAGAUUGGAACAAGUAAUUAUUUGGUGGUUGGAACAUUAAAGUGACCUAAAGUAUCGUUAUGAUUCUUAAAAUCAUUUUGAAAAGCGUUUUGAAUGAGUUAAGAACAUUUGUUAUUAUUUCAAAAUUCAUAUUAAACUCACUUAAUAUGAGAGAUGAACAGUGUUUCUUGGCUUUUGAAAGAUGAUUUUGAACAUUCUGAAUACUUCUGAUAGACCUCGAAGUGUUUGAGAUUCAAACCUUUAACCACUUGGUCGAAGGUAUAUAUUUUAUGCUUGUUGAGUUAUGUUCAUGUUGGCGUGUUUGAAGCAGCUUCUUCUAAGAUUACUCAAUUAGAUCACAUGCUUGCUACUCUUAGACAUUAUUCUGAAGUCACUCUCUCCAGCUUUGAAAGAUGAAAAUACAGAAUCUCUUAAAUGAACAGUCAGGAUUGAGUUUGUUCUAAAAAGUCAGUCCCUUAGCCAGUCCUCAGGAGCUUAGUGCAUCCUAGGGAUCAUUCACGCAAAAAUGACAUGAAUUAUAGGUCGGUUUAGCAAAGACAUAAUUAUUUUAAGGGAACUAAGGCCAGCGGUCUUCUACUUCGCGUAUGCAUUUCAUACACAGGCAAAGAAUAAUGGAACAAGAUACUUUGGUCGGUGGUGGAUGCUUGUCUUUUUUGCUCAUUGCCCCACCGAAAUGAUGAGACGAGAAAAGAGGUAAAGAGUCUCUACGUCAUUUUAACAUGAUAUGAUGAAAGUCUACUUAGUCGUUUCACCUUUGGAAUCUACGAAGUUCAUUGUAAAAAAGAAAUUGUAUAUUGUUCAAAACCGACUAAAUCGACGUGAAACAAUGUUGUUUCUUUUUUAAAACACGUUGGGAACAAAUAAAACUCUGCUUGAUAAC